CCUCCUCCAAAGUAGCCUUCAAAUCCGUUGAUGUUUGUUCCUCCUUCUAGAGCACCUCUUGGAGACUCGCGACUUCGGCGACCUUCUCCUUAAGACGGGCAGCCUUAGCUUGGCGACCUUCCUCUACCUGGGCUGCUUCUUUCUUUGCAUUGUUCAUCACCUCAAUGUUGGCGAUGAGCUAAUGUCCAAUCUGCAAGAGCGGUCAGAA
rnacentral:lncRNA from 1 species